GACGAACGCUGGCGGCGCGCUUAACACAUGCAAGUCGAACGGAAAGGCCUGCUUUCCCUUGUGGAUUGCGGGUACUCGAGUGGCGAACGGGUGAGUAACACGUGAGUGAUCUGCCCCCAACUUGGGUAUAAGCCUGGGAAACUGGGUCUAAUUCCCGAUAGGACUGCAGGGUGGUGCCUGUGGUGGAAAACGAUUUUCUAGUGGUUGCGGAUGAGCUCGCGGCCUAUCAGCUUGUUGGUGGGGUAAUGGCCUACCAAGGCGGCGACGGGUAGCCGGCCUGAGAGGGUGGACGGCCACAUUGGGACUGAGAUACGGCCCAGACUCCUACGGGAGGCAGCAGUGGGGAAUAUUGCACAAUGGGCGGAAGCCUGAUGCAGCGACGCCGCGUGGGGGAUGACGGCCUUCGGGUGGUAAACUCCUUUCGACCGCGAGGAAGCCACCUGGUUGGAAGGGUGGUGACGGUAGUGGUAGAAGAAGCACCGGCUAACUACGUG
rnacentral:rRNA from 1 species